rnacentral:rRNA from 1 species
CGAGGAUUCCCUUAGUAACUGCGAGUGAAAGGGGAAAAGCCCAGCGCUGAAUCCUUCAGCCACUGGCUGCUAGGAAUUGUAGCGUAUAGGUGCGACUGUCCGUUCGUUUCGUGCACCCAAAGUCCCCUUGAGCGGGGCUAUAGUCCAAAGAAGGUGCUAGACCUGUACGGGUGGCGAAGCGAACGGUUGGUUGCUCCUUGGAGUCGGGUUGCCUGGGAUCGCAGCCCAAAGUUGGUGGUAGACCUCAUCUAAGGCUAAAUAUGGCCACGAAACCGAUAGCAAACAAGUACCGUGAGGGAAAGUUGCAAAGAACUUUGAAGAGAGAGUUCAAGAGGGCGUGAAACCGUUGAGAUUGAAACGGAUAGAGUUAACGAAACUCGGCUGCAUUCAUCCGAUCGGCCUAAUGGAUCAAUAGCGUUCGCAUCCUCGAUGAGGGCAACGUUAUCGUUAACUAUUGGGUAAUUGAUCGGUGUAUUUGCGGCUGGUAUGCGCUGAGAGUUUUGUGAUCGCAUGUUAACGGGUGUGCAGUGGACCAUUCCUUCCGGGUGUGGAAACCUUCACAUCUUUAGGCAUGUCGAUUAUAAAGUUUUGAACGUGGCGUCUCCGCUAUUGUGCGUCGACUUAUGCGUACUAUUGUGAUUAUUGAAUAUUCGCAUGCGAAUAUUUGUAGUUAACGAUAUUGCGACAAAAGUGCGGACGCGUUGAGACGUGUAUCUCGGUGUGAACGUUGACCACCUAUCCGACCCGUCUUGAAACACGGACCAAGGAGUCUAGCAUAUGCGCGAGUCAUUGGGUGGUAAACCUAAGGGCGUAAUGAAAGUAAAAGUCACCUCGAUGUGGCCGAUAUGGGAUCCGGAUAACUUACGAGCCAUUCGGCGCACCAUAGCCCCGUCCCCAUUGCUUGCAAUAGGGCGGAGGUAGAGCGCAUAUGCUGGGACCCGAAAGAUGGUGAACUAUGCCUGAGCAGGAUGAAGCCAGAGGAAACUCUGGUGGAAGUCCGAAGCGGUUCUGACGUGCAAAUCGAUCGUCUGACUUGGGUAUAGGGGCGAAAGACUAAUCGAACCAUC